GAUGAACGCUGGCGGCGUGCCUAAUACAUGCAAGUCGAGCGAACGGACGAGAAGCUUGCUUCUCUGAUGUUAGCGGCGGACGGGUGAGUAACACGUGGAUAACCUACCUAUAAGACUGGGAUAACUUCGGGAAACCGGAGCUAAUACCGGAUGAUAUUUUGAACCGCACGGUUCAAAAGUGAAAGACGGUCUUGCUGUCACUUAUAGAUGGAUCCGCGCUGCAUUAGCUAGUUGGUAAGGUAACGGCUUACCAAGGCAACGAUGCAUAGCCGACCUGAGAGGGUGAUCGGCCACACUGGAACUGAGACACGGUCCAGACUCCUACGGGAGGCAGCAGUAGGGAAUCUUCCGCAAUGGGCGAAAGCCUGACGGAGCAACGCCGCGUGAGUGAUGAAGGUCUUCGGAUCGUAAAACUCUGUUAUUAGGGAAGAACAUAUGUGUAAGUAACUGUGCACAUCUUGACGGUACCUAAUCAGAAAGCCACGGCUAACUACGU
rnacentral:rRNA from 1 species